GCUUCCUUAGCUCAGGGGAUAGAGCGUUUGCCUCCGGAGCAAAAAGUCGCAGGUUCGAAUCCUGCAGGGAGCA
rnacentral:tRNA from 1 species